rnacentral:rRNA from 1 species
GACAGAGGUGCCAAGCGUUGUCCGGAAUCACUGGGCGUAAAGGGCGCGUAGGUGGCGCGGGCAGUCAACGGUGAAAGUUCGGGGCUCAACCCCGAAUCGGCCGUCGAUACUCCCGGGCUUGAGCACUGUAGAGGCUAAUGGAAUUCCGGGUGUAGCGGUGGAAUGCGUAGAGAUGCGGAGGAACACCGAUGGCGAAGGCAGCCCCCUGGGCUAACAC